rnacentral:rRNA from 1 species
UACUCUAGCCAUACCACCCUGAUCAUGCUCAAUCUCAUCUGAUCUCAGAAGCUAAGCUGAGUCAGGCCUGGUCAGUACUUAGAUGGGAGACUGCCUGAAAUAACAAGUGCUAUAGGGC